AUUGAAACAUCAUUUCCCAUACAAUCACUGAAGUUAAGCAAUGUCGAGCCUGGUCAGUACCUAAGUGGAUAACCGUUUGGGAAUACCACAUGCUGCCA